UACAGCCCCAAGGUCGCUCCCUCUGGGGCCCUUUCUUCCCCAUUCUUCCCAGCAGCCCAAAGCUCUGGUGGGACAGGGGCAGCCCCUGGGGAGGGAGGAGAGGACCCAGGAACCCGGCUAGGAGGGUGGCCCACCCAUUUCCAGUGUGACCUGUUCCCAUUCCCCCAUGUCUCCUCCCAUCCCUCCCGCCACUCAGCUCAGGCUGAUGAGAAGCAGAGCAACGGGUGUAUCGGUGUUUUCUUUCCUGGUGGGGUAGUGGGGUGGGGCUGAGGAGAGAAAAGGGUGAUUAGCGUGGGGCCCCGCCCUCUUUUGUCCUCUUCCCAGGUUCCCUGGCCCCUUCGGAGAAACGCACUUGGUUCGGGCCAGCCGCCUGAGGGGACGGGCUCACGUCUGCUCCUCACACUGCAGCUGCUGGGCCGUGGAGCUUCCCCAGGGAGCCAGGGGGACUUUUGCCGCAGCCAUGAAGGGGGCACGCUGGAGGAGGGUCCCCUGGGUGUCCCUGAGCUGCCUGUGUCUCUGCCUCCUUCCGCAUGUGGUCCCAGGCUAAGAACAGUCGCCGAGGGAAAAUAUUUCUUGGGCGCAUAUUUGAGGAGCUUCCUGGGAGUGAGUCAGAAGGCGAGUGCCGUUUAAAGGCUGCAAGAGAAGCCAUGCUGGUGAAGCGGACCCUUCCACCUCGGGAUGUUUCAGGACUAGGCUGAGGGCAAAGGAAACUGCCACCACCUCCCUACACCUCCCCACCCUCCAGCACCCCCACCCCACCCUGGCCACACAACCCCGCUCCAGUGCUCAUCCCACCGUGAGGACGUGGAGGCCGGAAGGAGCCGCCACACGGCCCUGCCCUGCAGAUGUGGUUGAAGGAGUCUCCACGGGAAUCAUGACUCCCAGAGCGAGGCUGGGGCUUGGGGCGCCGGGGAGGCAGCUUGGAUUUAGGAGCCCCAGGGCCAAGUCUUUGCCGUGAACUGUUCUGGCCCCUGUGACCAGGCCCUGCCCCGUGUCUCCCCAGGGCCCCGGUCCCCUGUGUAAAAAGCAGUGGUGAACGGUUGGACCUCCUGACGCCCAAGUUCUUGAGUUUCCAAAUCUGUGAUUUAAAGCUGAGCCCAAAUGUGCUGGGUACCAGCUGGACACUCAGCUCCAUGUGGAGCCAGGAAGUGGGGUCUGUGGAGAGGAGCGCAGAGGGGCAAGACCUGGGGUGGGCGUGGAAAAGCACGGGGGCGUGACCCGGAGAAGGAGUGAAGGACUGUUGGUGUGCAAGGGCGUCUCCAUGACGACCCGAAGAAGCUAGGCAUGUCGUGGAGCGCUGAGUCCUUUGCGUCGCUAAGGGGACCAAGUGGAGCUGGGCCAGGAGAGGAGAUGGUCGUGGCUGGGAGAUGGCACCCACACAUCUGACCGGGCAUGACCAGGGCCUUGGCAGGAAAAGCAGUCACCAAGGGCGGGUGGGCAGCCCCCACCCCCACAGGGCAGCUGCUGGAGGACUGGCAGCCAGCCAGCCCCGUUCCUUUUGGCUCCCUGAAGGGGUUUACAGAUGACCUGCCUAUACUUGAGUCUAGGGUCUGUUUGCACACUUGCCGGCAGGACCCUCACCCAGGCUGGGUCACACUGAAGCCCAGGCCAGAGGAAAAACACAGGGUUUCCACAAAGGAGCUGCCGCAAUGAGGGUUUCCUUAAGGAACAGCCCUGGCUCUCAAGGGUUAAAGGAUAAGGCACAGCAGACAGAGGUGGGCUAGACAAGGACAGAUGGAAAUUUGGUGUCUACUGGUCGCCCCAGGCAGGAAUGACUCAGAAGGAAGCCUGGCCGUCCUGGUUCCAUGCCACAGGGAAAGGCAACUGGGUCGAAAUAGGCCUUGGUCUCCAGCACUAUCAGUGACCCCAGGGAGGUGACAGGCUGGAGCAAGUGCAGGGCAGGCAGGGGAGGGGACGCCGGCCACAGCGCACUCCACGGGGAAGGGUCUUUAUGGGCCCCUCCUCGGAGAACCCCCGGUCUAUCUGUCAGUCUGGGACAGGCCACCUCAACUUGCCACCGAGGACACCAAAACUCUCCACAGACCCCUCUGCCCCUCUGGGAAACCCCACUGUGCUCCAGGACACUCAAAAGGAAAGGAUCCCUGGACAAGAGGUCCUGCCAGGAACAUCAGCCAAAUUUUGGCCAACGACCAGCAAGGUGCACAGGGAAGAGCAGGGGCUGAAACUCAGAGGUCCAGCAUCAGCGACGCCCUUGGCAGCCCAGGGAACACAGGCAACGCCUUUUGGCUCUGGAGUCUUAGGCUCUUCAUCGGCAAACUGAGCCCAGGGGGAAGGGGCUACUACGUAGGGUUGUCAUGAGGAUGAAACGAGACAGCAUCUGGUGUAAAGUAG
rnacentral:lncRNA from 1 species